rnacentral:rRNA from 1 species
CGGCGUGCCUAAUACAUAGCAAGUCGAACGGUCUUUCUAUGGAAGCUUGCUUCCACUGAGAAGAUAGUGGCGAACGGGUGAGUAACACGUGGGUAACCUGCCCAUAAGAGGGGGGAUAACAUCCGGAAACGGGUGCUAAUACCGCAUAGUUUCUUGAUCGCAUGAUCGGGAAAGGAAAGACGGCCUUUGUGCUGUCGCUUAUGGAUGGACCCGCGGCGUAUUAGUUAGUUGGUGAGGUAACGGCUCACCAAGACGAUGAUACGUAGCCGACCUGAGAGGGUGAUCGGCCACAUUGGGACUGAGACACGGCCCAAACUCCUACGGGAGGCAGCAGUAGGGAAUCUUCCGCAAUGGACGAAAGUCUGACGGAGCAACGCCGCGUGAGUGAAGAAAAGGUUUUCGGAUCGUAAAACUCUGUUGUCAGAGAAGAACAAGUUGGAGAGUAACUGCUCCAGCCUUGACGGUAUCUGACCAGAAAGCCACGGCUAACUACGUGCCAGCAGCCGC